CCGACAACCAGAACGCAACUCCAUAGUCUCCUGAGACUGAUGGAUGCCUACUACUACUACUAGCAAGCGUUGGUCACCUGAGUGACCAACAGGUGUUGAUCACCUGAGUGUACCACAGGUGUAGGGCUGGUCACCUGAGUGUACCACAGGUGUAUGGUUGAUCACCUGAGUGUACCACAGGUGUAUGGUUGAUCACCUGAGUGUACCACAGGUGUAUGGUUGAUCACCUGAGUGUACCACAGGUGUAUGGUUGAUCACCUGAGUGUACCACAGGUGUAUGGUUGAUCACCUGAGUGUACCACAGGUGUAGGGUUGGUCACCUGAGUGUACCACAGGUGUAUGGUUGAUCACCUGAGUGUACCACAGGUGUAUGGUUGAUCACCUGAGUGUACCACAGGUGUAUGGUUGAUCACCUGAGUGUACCACAGGUGUAGGGUGGUCACACACACCAGGUGAACGGUUGUCUUCACCACCACAACCCGGCCUUUAUAACCAACUUAUUGACCAUUCAGGAAGGGGCGACAUGCAGAAGGAAUUAACAUUAGGAAGCUGAGACAUGAAUAGAUUAUAUUUAUACUUUAGAUUAUACGAACACUUGUACAUAUCUGAGUUAUGAAACAAUUUUAAAGUUAACAUAAUAAACGUGAGCUCGCUGAAGUAUUUUAAGCAUAGGUUUGCUUAUAUAUGAAAGAGUUUGGUUGGGUAUAAAUAAGAGCUGCAUAUUUGUAUCUCCAUGUGACAUACUAGUUUUAUCGUGUCAUAACACGAUAAAUUUUUCUGAUAAAUUAUUUUAUCUGAUAAAUUAUUUUAUCUUUUACCAAUAUUUUUAUUGUGAUAACAUUCUCUAACCAUAAUUAAAUCUUGUCGAAGUGUUUGAUUGUAUUAUACAUCACUUGUUCUGCAGGCGUAAUUUAACACUAUUAAUGAACACAAUGAACAAUAAAUAACUUGCGGUGACACUAUCAUUAUAAUGUCACAAUUAGCGUGGGAAUACAGAUGUCAUGUUAAGAGAAACGCAACAGUAAUUACGUCACUAUAUUUUAUAACAUUACUUGAUAUGUGUUGGGAAUAUAUUGUAAGUAUUUCGCUUUAUUUUCAAUCCUUCCUCCAAACGUUAUGGAACUUACCGCCAUUAUUAGGGUCCACAUACACCAAUUUACAAAAAUUAAAAAAAGUUUAAAUUUUGUUCUAUUAAUUUAAUAAUUUUGUAGAGAGCACAAAAAGCUCCCCCAACCACCAUAAACAUUCUUAGACCUAGUAUAGCCCAUAUGUCUACUAUAUUAGGCCUAACAGUGUCUAUUUGGCCUAGGGUUGCUUAUUUACCUCUUGGAGAAGAUGCUUAACUUACUUUGAUACAUAGCCUUCCCGGUUUGGUGCCUUCUUUUGAUAAUUACUUACUUAACUUACUUUGAAAUGCUGGAAACCCACUUGUCUGAGUGCCGGGGCCACACACACUGCCACUACACUAAAUACAUCUGAUCUACAACUACAGACUUCUCAGGCUCCAAAAUGCAUAAGUCAAAACUAUGACAGUAAGGGUGACCUUGCUCUUCACACUAGUGGGUAUACACAGAGUAAGGGUGACAGUGUAUGAUAUACAACAGGUGAGGAUGUGUGUAGUGGUCCAGGUGUUGACGCCCCCCCCCCCCAUCACUUGUAUGUCACAAUUAGCGAGGUUAAAAUUAAUAAUCUGCUUUAUUAUUCAUUAUACAUAUGUCUGCUCUUCACCUCAUUAUAAACCUGUCACUCGUCUUAAUGUGAGAAGCCACAACCAAUCAGGAAGUUGCCGGAGUUGCACUGUGUGUAUGUAUGUAUGUGUAUAUGUAUUGUAUAUAUAUGUGUGUGUAUUGCUUCAUCACUUUGUUAAUGACAUAAAAGUUCUUGAGUU
rnacentral:lncRNA from 1 species